rnacentral:lncRNA from 1 species
AAGGUUGUGAGUCCACUUAUGUUGAAAGGUUGUGUCUUUUGAAAAAUAAGUGUAAAGGGUUGUGUCUUUUCUAAAAGUUCUAUGUUGGAAGGUUGUGUCUUUUCCAAUUAAUUCUAAAGGUUGUGAGUCCACUUAUGUUGAAAGGUUGUGUCUUUUGAAAAAUAAGUGUAAAUAGUUGUGUCUUUUCUAAAAGUUCUAUGUUGGAAGGUUGUGUCUUUUCUAAUUAAUUUUUUAAGGUUGUGAAUCCACUUAUGUUGAAAGGUUGUGUCUUUUGAAAAAAUAGUGUAAAGGGUUGUGUCUUUUCUAAGUUCUAUGUUGUAAGGUUGUGUCUUUUCUAAUUAAUUCCUAAGGUUGUGAAUUUCAAUUAUGUUGAAAGGUUGUGUCUUUUGAAAAAUAUGUGUAGAGGGUUGUGUCUUUUCUAAAAGUUAUAUGUUGUAAGGUUGUGUCCUUCUAAAAAUAGUCUAAAAGUUGUGACUAUUCACUAGUAUCUUUUAAAAAGUGAGAAGUUGUGAGUAUUAGAAGAAUGUGACUACUCAUAUUGAAGGGUUGUGACUAUUCAAAUAAGCUUUAAAAAAUCUAUAAAUAGUCUCUCCCAUGCAUUUUUCAAAUCAAAUUUUCACUAAUCUACUAAUAAUAAAAUGGUGAAAAAAAUAAUGUCAAAGUUGCAACUUUUCAUCUAAACAAGGUGUCUUUUCAUCUCAAAGUGGGAUUACUUUAAAAAAUAUUGGUUUUAUUUAAGUAAUGUGUUAGUUUAUAUAAUAAGUAUUGGUAUUUUAUAAUAACUCUCCCAAAAAUUAAAAAAAAAAGUGAUUGGUUGUUUAUCUUUUUCCGACAAAUGGCUUAAACUACAAAUUAAUUUUUGUUAACAAAGUUAUUUCCUUUAUGAAAAAGUAACGGCACAAGUAAUAAACUAGCUAUUAUUUUGUUUGAUGGUUAGCAAAACUGUAAGUCCAAUCUAGUGUGAGCAAAAUUUAGUGUGUAGACAGUAUACUUACUGACUGUAAUAUUUGGGGUGUGAUUGGUACUUACUACUUAUAGCUGCACCUAGAGUAACAAAAAGUAAAAGAAAUGAGAGUAAAAAGUUGUAAAGUAAGAAAAGGGAAACCAGCUCAACAAUUUUCCUCUACGGUUCUACCCAAACUGUAAGGAGCAAAAUAAAUGAUUUUAUCUUUGAAUGUACAGUAAUUAGAGUAAAAUAAGUAAAAUGCUUUUUUACUUUAAUGAUACAGUUUUAGUGGAAAUGAAAGCAAUCAUAUUUUCAACUGAAUAAUUCUCGCUAAAAGUACCAAACAUUAAUCACACUCUUAAAUAGUCACGAAGAAUAUGCAAAUUAAAAAAAAAAGUGGUAAAUGUAAAAAUCUUCAACAUUUUAGUCAAAAGUCAAAGAAAGAUGUAUGGUCUCCUCUCCUUUCCCCCCAAAUAAGGAUGACUCACUCUCGGUCAAUUCAGACGAGCAGAGAAAUUUACAAGUUGGUUUUCUUUCAGUGACCAUAAAUAUACGAAGUUACAGACUUAUGGUAUUUGAUUCUAUAACGUGAAAGAAGUAUAGAAAAAUUAUACAAAUUGAUUAGAUAACGUGUCACAAAUGUAUUUUGUUAUUUAUUUUCAAAGUGAAAUAAACUUCAUCAUACAAUCCCACAGAAUUGUUCAUAACUAACAAUGUUUUCUCAAAAUAUCUAACAAAAUAUCUCCAAAAUAUCUCCAAAAUAUCAACAUAAAACAUAAAUUAGGAAGUUGACAAAAAACAUAAAUUAGUUGCAAUUAAUUUGUUAGGUUCUUUCAGCAUUAUAGCAGUUCAAGCUUUUCCUUUUAUGGAUUGACGAACUUAUUAUUGACGGGUUUAUAGAAAUUUUUUGGUAUCGCAAGAUUGCAAGUUGAUGAGGAUAAAUUAAUGCAACAAGCAUUUAUUGAUUUAACAAAAUUUCUCAAAUAUCUGAAAAUACUCCAUAUGGAACAAACAUAAAGUUGACGGUACACACAUGACACAACGUCCCAUUCACCAUCAUAGUAAUUCGACGAUACUUAUAGAUUCGUGAGAUAGUUAUAUUCGCAGUUUUUUUUUUAAAUGGUGACUUCUGUGGGCAAUAUCUAAGUUAAAACAUACAGACUAAUUAGUUUGUAUUUGUGGAUUAUAAGUUCCACGUCCCUUCAUUCAUUUUUGUAUUUUUAUCUUGUACUUGUGUUUAGCCUAGAUGCAGACGAUAAAUAUGUGGGAAUAAAACUAAAGUGAUAAAUGGGAAAAGGUGGAGAAAGAGGAAGAAUAUUUGAAACGAAACGAUAAACGUACCACCCAACUUAUAGACACUAGAAACGCAUGACAAGCUCCAAUGUUAUCCAACCUUUCAGUUUCACUUAAUGGAAUCUUAUGCCUUAUCUCUUUUCUUUCAUUUUCUCCAAACUAUAACACUUUUCAUCAUUCAACUUCGCUUUUUAAUGUUCUUUUUCUUCUACAAAUAGCUCAAUGUUAUCCGACUUUUUUCUGUAUUUUCUUGUCUAAGACAGAACUUAUUUUCAACUUUCUUUGAUAAAUAUUCUCAAAGAAAUAUUUUAUAGUUUAAAGUACUAAAAAGUAUUUGAGAACUUGCGUAAAAUAUCUUAAGUUAGUUACCAGUUUUUAAAAUAUGCUUAAUUAAAAAGACCUUAACAUUUGGAUUUAGGUUUUAGCGAUUAUUUUUUAAUGUUUAGUAUUUAAGGGGUGGGUUUGAGAAACUUUUAUAAAUUUUUUAUAAAUUAUUCUUAACCUUUUUAUAAAUGAUCUAGGAAAAUUAAUUUAAUAUUUUUAUCACAAAUUUAAAGUAUGUAUAAAAAUAAUUAUCAUUUAAUGGUAAAUUUGAAAAGUGAUAUCAAAUUGAGAGUAAAAUUAAAACACCCCCCACCCCCCUCUCUCCAAAAAAAAAACAAAAAAAAUAUUUCUAAGUUUGAUUUUUCACUUUCUUUGAUGGUCAUUUAGUUUUUAGCGUAUAAUGUGUCUAGCGUAAAGUGGAGGUUUGCUUUCACGAAUAUUUUCUUCUUAGAUGAAGAUGAUUUCACGAAUAUAUACAUCCAAUCAACUAAUAAACUAAGAAGAAUAAAAUAAAGUUCAGAUAAAGGGGAUGGUCCGAGGUUUAAAGUACAUUGGAAAAUAAAUUAUAUAUAAUGUACUUCCUCCUAACUAUCUUUUGUUAUAGUCAAUAAAGUGAUAUAUAGUUCAAAGAUUUACUUCAUCUCUCAAAUGCCUUAAUUUUUCCUAGCCUUUUUCCUACUUAUUUUCAGUGUUCACAUUAUACAUGUCCCUUUUAAUUUACUAUUCCAUCUUAACUUUUUACCAGCCUCGUCAUGGCAAAUCUCUUGUAAUGUAUUGGAGAAUACACACAAGCUUCAUUAAAGAAAGCACAUUAAAUUUAGAUCUUUUAAGCUGAACAAAUUAGACACUCUAACCUCGACGCAGUAGGACUGCUUUUACUGAGAGAUUAUAAUAUCACGUUUGGCAUGUUGUCGGAAGCUUGCAUCCUAAACAAGAGGUUUCAGAGACUUUAUUUUAACGUCACCGAGUGGAGUUAAUUUCAUUUCAGAGACUUGUGAACAAUCAGAGUUUUCUGGUAUAGUUAGUUAAGCGUUACAGUUAAGCUAUGUGUACAUUAACCAUCUCUAGAAACACAUCUUUAUAUUUAUUAUAAGACGAACAAUAAUAUUUUAAUUAGUUUGGACAAAUCAUUUACUGAAUUUGUGAAUGUAAAGUCAUCAUCUGCGAAUCAUAUCUUAAGGAAUUUAUUCGUAGCUAGUUUACCAUUAAUUAGAGCUACAGCUUUGAAGAAUAUCCGUACUCAACUCAAACUGCAGUAUUAAGAAGUAAGCAAAUCAAUGUCUGUGAACUAUUAUGCUAAAGAUCAAAUCUCGUUCUUGUCCAUGUCUAGCAGAAUGAGGGAUCAAUAGUUAGCUCUAUGACCAAGGCUUGAUGGGAGUAUUUUUUAGUCACUCUUGCCUUGCUGAGAUCCAGUCUCCUGUAAGUAAUGCUCCGCAUCCAAAGCUGCCAUGCAUCCUACACAACCAAUCAAAUAACUUGUGAUGAAAAUUAAUUUUCUACAUAUAGCUAAACAAAGAGAGAAUGUAAUUUUUUUUUUUUGAACAAAGAAUGUAAUUAGAAUUCUUUACUAACUACUAAGCAAUGCAACACAACACACUCAGAUAAGACUAAAAAAAAAAAUAUUAUAAAUGACACGGGUCAUAUUAACGUAAAUCAACAUAUAUUUAUUACAAUAUUAAAUUUUCUGAAUAUUCAUUUUCAAUAAAUAAAGCAGGUAGAUAAAUAUACAAAAUAACAAUUACCAACAUAUAAAUUAUAAUUGUUUAAAAUUAUAAACUAAUAAUUUUAAUAUUAUGUUUUAAAUAGGAAAAGAAAUUAUAUAUCAUGCAAAAAAAAAUUGCAUUUUGUUCAAAAAGUGGUUGAAGAUAACUAUCAUGUGAAAAAAUAUAUGAAAAAACUUAAAAAGGAUGAAGACACAAUUGUAUACAAGCAAUCCCAAUUAAUUCCAAAGGUUGUGAGUCCACUUAUGUUAAAAUGUUGUGUCUUUUGAAAAAGAAGUGUAAAGGGUUGUGUCUUUUCUAAAAGUUCUAUGUUGGAAGGUUGUGUCUUUUCCAAUUAAUUCUAAAGGUUGUGAGUCCACUUAUGUUGAAAGGUUGUGUCUUUUGAAAAAGAAGUGUAAAGGGUUGUGUCUUUUCUAAAAGUUCUAUGUUGGAAGGUUGUGUCUUUUCCAAUUAAUUUUUAAGGUUGUGAAUCCACUUAUGUUGAAAGGUUGUGUCUUUUGAAAAAGU